GAUGAACGCUGGCGGCGUGCCUAAUACAUGCAAGUCGAGCGGAAAGACGAUGAGCUUUCGCCUUUGACGAUAGCGGCAGGCGGGUGAGUAACGCGUGGAUAAUCUACUUGUAUUUGUGGGAAAACUUCGGAAAACCGGAGAUAAUACGGGAUAAGAUGUUGAACCGCAGGGGUCAAUGGUGAAUGACGGUGUUCGUGUAUCUAAUAGCUGGAUCCGCGCCGUAUUAGCUAGUUGGUAAGGUAACGGCCUACCAAGGCGACGAUGCGUAGCCGAACUGAGAGGCUGAUCGGCCACACUGGAACUUAGACACCGUCCAGACUCCUACGGGAGGCAGCAGUAGGGAAUAUUCGGCAACGGGCGAAAGCCUUACAGAGCAACCCCGCGUGAGUGACGAAGGUCUUCGGAUCGUAAAGCCCUGUUAUUGGGUAAGAACAAAUGUCUAAUUAAACAUGGCCGUAUUGACGGUAACUAAUCAGAAAGCCACGGCUAACUACGUG
rnacentral:rRNA from 1 species